CAUUCAGUCUUGUCUUCAUAUCCACAGCUGAUAACAUGGAUUGCUUCCUUUAAAAGAGUUGCAGGAUUGGUUGAUGGUGGAAUACCUCCCUGUUCCAUGAAGGUGGCUGCAAUGAAAACUGGUGACUGACCAAAACGCUUUUCUAGACUCUUCUGAGACAUAAGAAGAGACCUCUCAUCAUCAUAUCCUUCAACGCCCUCCUCAAUAUCUUCCAUAUUGAAAAUGGGAACGGGAACAGUGGAUUCAGUUCUCUUCACUGCCCUCUUCUUGUCAAUAUACUUCUUACUACCACUUCUUCCUUUCUUUCUUGAUCCACAACAACUCUUGACAAUAAUGUUUGGUUCCAAAUCUUCCUCAGUCAAAACUGGAUCAUAACCAUAUAGAGCUUGCCUAUUGAAACAACAACCAGUUCCCACAUAGACCGGACCCUGGAUGCCAUCUAGCCCUUUCAAGUUGAUAUC
rnacentral:misc_RNA from 1 species